rnacentral:pre_miRNA from 14 species
AGGUGUAAAAGAAGCAAGUUAAAAAUGCAGACUCCUAGGGUCUGUCCAUUACAAAGUCUAAUUUAAUGGGUCUUGGUGGGGUCCAGGAAUCUGCAUUUAAAAAAGCAACCUAGUGAUCCUGGUACAGU